GUACACGCUGUGACUAGCAUAUCAAUAAGCGGAGGAAAAGAAACUAACAAGGAUUCCCUCAGUAACGGCGAGUGAAGCGGGAAGAGCUCAAAUUUGAAAUCUUGAAAGGUCACCUUUCACGAAUUGUAGUUUAAAGAAGUGUUUUCUGUUACGAUCGUAAUAUAAGUUCUUUGGAAUAGGACAUCACAGAGGGUGAGAAUCCCGUCUAUGAUUGCGAUUUGUAGCUUUGUGAUACACUUUCAAAGAGUCGGAUUGUUUGGAAAUGCAGCCCAAAACGGGAGGUAAAUUUCUUCUAAGGCUAAAUAUUGGCGAGAGACCGAUAGCGAACAAGUACCGUGAGGGAAAGAUGAAAAGAACUUUGAAAAGAGAGUUAAAUAGUACGUGAAAUUGUCAAAAGGGAAGCGUUUAACACCAGUGUUGUUUUCUGAAAAUCAACCUCUGUUAGCUUUAUGCAUGUUUGUUUAGACCUAAUCAGCUAUCUUUCAUGUUCUAUUGUUUGCAGUGGUGCACUUUUCAGUUUACAGGUCAACAUCAGUUUUUUUUACCGUAAAAAAGUUAAAGAAAGGUAGCUCAUGGCUCCGGUCGUGAGUGUUAUAGUCUUUUUCCUAUGCGGUAGGAGAGACUGAGGUCUGCAGUGUAGGCUAUUUGGCUAGAUACUCAGGUGCUAUGUGGAUAUCAUUUCAUAAACAACUUGUUGAUUAUGUUUUGUCUAUUGCAUACUCGCUUGUACUAUCAUACCUACGCUUAGGAUGUUGAGUAGCGACAUACGCAC
rnacentral:rRNA from 1 species